CGGCGGACGGGUGAGUAACGCGUGGGUAACCUGCCUCAUACAGGGGGAUAACAGUUGGAAACGGCUGCUAAUACCGCAUAAGCGCACAGUACCGCAUGGUACGGUGUGAAAAAACUCCGGUGGUAUGAGAUGGACCCGCGUCUGAUUAGGUAGUUGGUGGGGUAACGGCCUACCAAGCCGACGAUCAGUAGCCGACCUGAGAGGGUGACCGGCCACAUUGGGACUGAGACACGGCCCAA
rnacentral:rRNA from 1 species